GAAAGUCCCAGAAUAGUAGGCCCGUAAUCACCUGUGCUAACAGUUAACUCGUAACUAGUAAGAGUUGUGUCAUUAUGGGUUGGCGAUGUUUCACAUUAGCGUUACCUCGGCAUAGUUUAAAAAGGUGCAUGUUGGGUCUGGCUAAGGCUAUACCUUCUAGCUGUGACUUGUACGAACAGUCGUGAACUUCUACCUAUAGUGAGGUGUGCGCCACCUUUCUGCUGUCUGACUGUUUAUCCCUGUCCUGACUGUAGAGAGCUCUUUUAGCUCAGUAUUUGUAAACUUUGAGGAGCGCAGCGAGACCGAGAGGUGGACUGGACUGGUUUUAUUUCACGGAGAUAAUAAACGAAGAGAGAGGUUGAACCUGGCCUAGACUGUGGAGGACUUCAUGGUGCGUGGGACUGAAAACGAGUGACGUUCAUACAGACAAGAAAUGAAAUCCUAAGGAAGCUGUGCUCAUCCACUGCAGCGUGCAUUCCUAUGCAUUCCCUGGUCAACACUGAUGUUCCUAUGAGCUCAUGCGGCGGAACUGUGGGGUCCAUCUGUGGCUGUGAAAAGGGCCCCAUUCUGUUCAUUUGGAACCAUUGUGUUCAUGUUCACAUCUGCCAAGCAAGCCUUGUCAGCUGCAACUUGGACCUGUCCAAUUACUUUCCAAUUUUUGGACAAUGGAAUAGAUGGAAGGAAACACAGAUGGAUUGACAGCUUGGAUUGAUUUCAAAAUGAGAAAUGUGUUGCUGACAUUAUGGUAGCAUUAUAAUGAUCUUUCCUGCAGCAUUUGAAGGCAGAAAAUUUCACCAAUGAAAUGGUAAUUUAAGGGGUAAGUAGUGGGAAAGGGACUGAACCUAGUUUCAUGUUUAAUCUCUCCUGCCCAGUGAGUGUCAUAUCGCUUUGCCAUACAGCUUGUAAAAGAUAGAUGUGCAAUAACCUGCACUCAUGCAAGUCGACAAACAAUCCAAGAGGACUGACUAUUGACUGUAAGACGGGUAAAUGUUACUCAUUCUAACCAUAAAUCUGAGAGUAAAGCUUUGAUACAUGCAUGGGGGUAGUCCUUGCAUGCACCCAAGACUCAUCCCCAGAUUUAUGGAGGCCAAGGCACUCAAUCUCUGAGACACACAUUUACUUUCACAGAGUCUUCGUCAUCAAUCACAAUGCAACACCAAGGACGUCCUGUUUUCUCUGACAUCUGCUAUUUGACAAACUCAAACUGACUGACACAGCAGAGAGGUUUAUUACUCUCUCCCUGUUGGUGGGUUGCAUGUUGAAUUUUCUAUAUGGUGUACUGUUUUGUGUAUCUACAGUGUAUCCUUAAGAAUAUUCAUAUGAGACCAUUAUGUCAGUAUACAUUUAAUUAGUUGUCAUGCUUUAGUGAGAGAAUCCAUCCAAGCUUUGCAUUCAUAAUGUUGUUCUUCAUUAGAGUGCCAAGCUCAAGGUUUCUCAGGGAUGAAUUUCCAUCGUUAGGAAAGGCUGAGCUCAUUUAUUUUGAUGCUAUACCAACGGCAGCAUUUCUGCUAUUAUACAAGUGAAUUAAACUAAUGCAUCUGUCUCCUCCCUGCUGGUGGACAUUAUUUAUUAGCCCAAUCUACGUCCAUGUCUCUUAUACUGUGUCCCAUCCUUAUCUCACUGGACUGUCUCAUUCUCAUUUCCCUCUCAAGACUAAAGAUUUACUGUUGAUAGGUAUAACAAUACUUACAGUUGUGUAAAUGAUCAUCUUUUGGCUAUAUUACACAACUUAGCUUCCAUUUUCCAUGUUGCAGCAUGUCCUUAGCUGGCACCUUAAUGUACAGUGAUAUGUCCAGUUAUGUAGAAACAAAUUCUAUGAAUGAUAAUCGGCUCUCAUAUUGCAAUUUAGAGACGAACACAAAAAGUAUAUAAUACACUAUAAUAACACAACAAAAGAGUACAAAGCUGGUAUAAUCACCUCUGAUUCCCUUAGGUUAUAGGGUUGCAUUGUUGACCUUUUGUUUUCUAUACUUACAAAGGUCUGGAUGAAUAUUUUAAUAUCUCGUGGUGUGUUCCUACAGCUCAUAAAAGAAAUACAGAUGACUUGAAAUAUUGUUUAUCUAAAUAGGUGUAAAUAUAUGAUUCAUCAAACAUUACAGUAAGUAAUUUAUGAAUGACUCACAGAAUGCUGCAGAGGUAUUUUGUUUUUGCUGUUGUUUGGAUUCACUCUUGAGAAAAGGAAAAAUAAAUUUUGAUUUGUAUUUACUUUGGGGUUCUAGAUGAAUGAUUUAGUGCCUUGGCAGAGGAAACAUCUUAUAUGCAGUCUUUUCUAGGAACUGCUUGUUAGUUUGUGUGUGUGCAACUGUGUGUUUAAACCUCCUGUGUGUGUGUGUUUGUGAGUGUACUUGUGGUAACAACUGCUUGGCUCUAUCGUUGUUCCAUUUGCCAGGACAUAAAAAUACUCUGGGUUAUGCAUGGGUUCAUCAAUAACCAUUGGCCUCAUGAAAAGUUAAUUCAUUCAGGGCUUGAGAACAGACACUAUUAUCCCUGUUGGAAUCAUGUUGAUGUAAGACAUCCUUUAAAAUCAUCCACUUAGUCAUGCAAUUUUUUUGUUGUAGUUCUAUGUGUAUGUGUGUAUAGAGAGA